rnacentral:misc_RNA from 1 species
AGCAGCCGCGGUAAUUCCAGCUCCAAUAGCGUAUAUUAAAGUUGUUGCAGUUAAAAAGCUCGUAGUUGAAUUUCGGGAUUGGCGUAUCGGUCGUGCCUCACGGGGUAUGAACUGGUGCAGUCAAUUUCUCACCUUCUGGAGAACCGCGAUGUCCUUAAUUGGAUGCCGUGGGGAACCAGGACCUUUACUUUGAAAAAAUUAGAGUGUUUAAAGCAGGCAUUUUUGCUUGAAUACAUUAGCAUGGAAUAAUAAAAUAGGACGGCAUGGUUCUAUUUUGUUGGUUUCUAGGACCACCGUAAUGAUUAAUAGGGAUAGUUGGGGGCAUUAGUAUUCAAUUGUCAGAGGUGAAAUUCUUGGAUUUAUUGAAGACUAACUACUGCGAAAGCAUUUGCCAAGGAUGUUUUCAUUAAUCAAGAACGAAAGUUAGGGGAUCGAAGACGAUCAGAUACCGUCGUAGUCUUAACCAUAAACUAUGCCGACUAGGAAUCAGACGAUGUUAAUUUUUUAAUGACUCGUUUGG